rnacentral:pre_miRNA from 1 species
UCAAAACUAGCCACUUGUUAUUUUCUAAUUGGUUCUUAGUGUGUAAAAAUUUUAAAAUAACCAAUUAGAAAAUGACAAGUGGCUAAUUUUGA